ACGUAAACGAGCAAGAGCUGGACGCUGAGAGCGCUAGAGCGCAAGCGCAGGGCAAGGGAGGCGGCGGACUCAGAGCAGGGCGCCUGCGUACAGCAGGCAAGUUUGGGCCGAUGUGGGUUAGGGAUGUGCCUCGCGGAGGCGCCGGACGGAAAGAAGAGAUGGGAGUGCGCAGGCGCGGUAGGACUGACUGACGCCCGCUUUCCCUAGAGGCUAGCCGCGGUGCGAUUUCCCAGCAGCCCAUAGUCCUUAUUUACAUACGCUUUGAUCUCGUUUAAGUUGGCUCUCGCUGUUCUACCCGGUUCCGAGUCUCUUAAAGAGCCCUGGAGCGGAGGUGAGGAGGAGUUGUCAUUUAGUAUGUCCCUCAUGGUUGAGCUCAGGCUCUGAAACCACACAAAACCAGCUUUGCAUUUCCUUGCUAAUGACUGGCCAGAGGCUCGACCGUUUUUUUGUGUGUGCCUCAGUAUCAUCUACUAAGUGGAAACAGUCAUACUUGUAUUACCGGGCUAUUGGACUACUUUAUGUAAACCGAAUUAUCAAUUAGAUAAUUAUCAAUAUUAUAUCAGUUAGACAUUCUACGACCACAAUAGUCUUAUCUGCUCAUUCUACAUAAGCAAUUACAUAUGGGCUAUAACUUUUUUAUAAGGUAACUUGGGCCCGGAAAGUCCUUAAAAUGACCCCGCAAGAAAAGAGUUUUGCACACAUCCUGGCCCAUCUAUUAGCUGCUGUACUAGACAGCUGUGAGACAUCUGGCUCCCAGUCUGUUCCGUCAAAUUGGUUGGGUGGGGCUUGUUAGCUUAUGAGUUUGGGUUCCGGUAUGCCACACAGCGUAGCAAGUAUGCAUUGGUUAAUGCAUACCUCUUGUAGAAGGCCUGGCUGGGGGGUUGAGGAAUCCUAGGUCCACCUCGGUCUGUGAGAGUGUCUCCAGCAAGUCCUGCUCAGGGAUGGGCCUUAGUUUCCCCAUAGGUAAACCUAAUGCUGGAACUAGCCCUUAGCUAAUAGGUUUCCAGCUUGGAACUCACUGCUCUGUAUUCCUAUUCCUAAUUCGUGGUCUUGCCCCAUCACUGUGUUGUUAACUCUAACCAAUGCCACUUGCACCUCAGUCCUGACCAUUUUAGAGUCCUGUCUGGUAAUGGGUCUGUCUCAUUAACUGCACAGAGAGCCCCGGGAGGAAAAAGACCAGGACUGUCUCAGUCAUCACUUUUGAGGGAUGGGACAUACCUAACACUGCCCAGCAAAGCCCUGGCACAGAGCAGGCCCUCGGGGAAUAUCUGUUUCAAGAAUUAACCCCUCCACUCUAAUCAAGACUCAAGGUUACUGUGGCCUUUCUUUCCUCCUCUGUGUUGAACAGCUCACAGCCCAUUCCCCUACAUCCAGGUCUUCACAACUGACUCAAAUUCCUGCCCCUCCUAGGGCACAGGAUGGAUUAUCUCACAAAAUCUCCAGUGCCCUUGUGUAUAAACUCCUUGGGACACUAGUAGUCAAAGAAAUUGCAAUAGAAAACACCAUACAUAUUCAAUUUUUUAACACAUAGGAGAUUCCCAAAACGUUUCGGUGGUUGUGCUAGGCUGGUCUCUGGGGCAGACCUUGGAAUGAAGUUUUUUCUACCCUUGAUAAGACUGAACACCUUAUCGAUCUGCUCUGAACACGUAGAUGGCUUCCCAUCCCAUGUGGAAUCAAAGCUAAAGGCCUCAGCAGGGCCCUAGAACUCAGUUCAAACUCACCUCUUUCAAGAGACUUCGCCUGGCCACUCAAGACUCAGAAGAGCCAGGCUGUCACCAUCCAUCUCUUUAGCAUAUCUGAAUUCCCUACUUAGCACUUAACACUAAAGAAUACUUUUGUUGUUUAUUUUGUAACUGUCUUUCCCAAAACUAGGAUAUAAAUUUGUCCGUGAAGGCAAAGACCUUGUCUUGGGCACCCCUGUCUCCCCGGCUCCUAGAACGAUACCUGGCACAUAGGUGGGACUUGGGGAUCAAUAAAUAUUUGCUGACUGAA